UUGGGAGGUAGAGGCAGGAGGAUGACUUCGAGGGUAGUCAUGAACUACAAAAGAAAACCAAGCUAUUGCUGCUAUCUGAAAUAGGCUUUCCUCAGUGGCAUGCAAAGACGGGAACCUGGCCUUCUCUUGCUAAAAUUCCUUCCCAGGGGAAGAGACAAGCCACAUCAUCUACCCCUUCCCCUAAGGUCCCAACAACAAACUGAGGCACAAUUCUGCCAGAAUUCAUUCUGACAGAACCAGUGGAUGUAUUGUGCUUGUUUGUAGAGCACAGCAGAAGCAAAGCAAAGUCCCUUCUGGAAUGGCUCAGCUCAUCAGAGCAACCCUAGGAAAGUCCUUUCUGGAAUGGCUCAGCUCAUCAGAGCAAUCCUAGGAAAACUGAACAAAACACAAAAUAAAGCAGGAGAGGAAGCAAAAUGAAAAAGUGAACAAGCAAGCAAAAAAAAGACCAGAAAUGUUUUGAAGAUUAGCUUGUAAGUUGGGAAAACUGUUAGUGAUAAAAUGCUUUAGUGUGAAACUAUAAGAAACAUCAGUUGUUUUAAGUCACAUUUCUCUAAAAAAUGAGCAUUGAAUAAUAGAAAAGAAAUGACAA